rnacentral:lncRNA from 1 species
AUUGGUUCUUUCUUUCUAAUACAUUUUAAUUUUUAAUAUUUUUGUGAAAAUUAUUUGUUUAUCUUUUUUUUAAGAAUGAAAUUCCAUAUUUGUUUGAUUGGAUUCUACUUGUUUUUCAUUUAAAUAUCCGCCAUUUUGGAUCCGCCAUUUUGAAAUUUAAAUUUUUAAUCUUUAAUUCAGAUUCAACAACCUGUUAAAAAUAAAGACAAUAACUGUUUUAGAAAAAUGUUCUUUUUUAUGUUUUUUUAGAAAAUCCGCAUUUUGGAUACGCCAUUUUAUAGUUUAUAAUGUUAACAUUUAAGUUAGGUUUAUCAAAGCUCUCAAAAAUAAAUAUAUGUAGAAAUAAAUACAUGUUUGUAAAGAAAUUAUGAUUUUACAACUAUUUUUUAAGUUAUCCGCCAUUUUGGAUCUGCCAUUUUAUAAUUUAAAUAAUCAAAAUUUGAUUCAGGUUCAGCAACCUCCCAAAAAUAUCCACAUAUAUGUAAACAAACACGUUUUAUAAAAAAAAUUCGGAUUUUACAACUGCUUGUUAAGGAAUUUUAGGAAAAAAUCCGCCAUUUUGAAUCCGCCAUUUUGAAUUUGCAAAUUGUAAUGUCAGAUUCGGGUUAAGCAUAAUCAAAACUAAAAUAAAAACAUUUUUUAUCAAAAUAAAAUGUUGAAUUCACCCAUAUUCUUAACAUUAUUUAUACAAAACAAUUGUUAUUGUUUAAACAAUUAAUAAACAAUUAGCGGCGAAAUUUGUGAGUAGAACUUUUUACUUUAACAUAUUUAUAAACUAACAAAAAAAGUUUUAGAAAAAUAUAACCUUGUUUGAUUUUUUCCGAAACAUUGUAUCUUCUCGUUCUAAUUGCACUCCCCUAUUAUAUUCCCACUAAAAAAUUUAAAAGGAAGUAGCUGCUGUUAGUACUAUCUGUCAUUGUAUGUCAUUAUUUACUUUAUUGUUUUGUAAAGAAUAUUUUCUACGCCGUCCCUGACGGACGACUAAAAGAAAUGGAUGUUCUGACAAACAGCAUAGAUGCCCGAAUAUGGAUAAUGAAGUAUUUAAUGAGUCAGUCGAUUAUAGUAUUUCGUGAUAGAAAGACAUGUGUACCUAGACAUUAAAAUAAAUGUAUUUAAUUCUGAAUUUGCCUUUAAAUAUUUAACAAAGCAGCGGUAGGAUAUUAUCCAUGUGCUAUAACAAGCGUUAAGUUAUAUUUAUACUUAUUUAAUAGUGAUAUUUGUUUAAAAACACAAUAAUAGUAUAACCGUAUGUGAAUGUUUCGAAAGUGACAAAAAUAGCAACGGAAUUUUCCUGCAAGAACUGAACUUAUAAAGUGUUGUUAUGUUAAAGUGUUUUACGUGGAAUUUUAUCCGGAAUAUAAAGUACUGGGUGUUUUUAUGAGUUGUUUUUGGAUCAAUUUGUGAUGUUUCUUUGCCAAUGAUGUACAUUGUACCACAUAUUUUUUAUGACAGGAUGUCUGUUGGAACUUCGAACUUGUGUCUGAUGGGGUUAAGAGGAUUGAACUGUAAAUCAGUGGCAUCGGAUCCACGAGGACGUGGAUAAGGGAAGCGUGGCCGACUGUAAAGAAUAUUUUCUACGCCGUCCCUGACGGACGACUAAAAGAAAUGGAUGUUCUGACAAACAGCAUAGAUGCCCGAAUAUGGAUAAUGAAGUAUUUAAUGAGUCAGUCGAUUAUAGUAUUUCGUGAUAGAAAGACAUGUGUACCUAGACAUUAAAAUAAAUGUAUUUAAUUCUGAA